AUUUUACAUACCAUAGACAAGUUAAAAUAUGAUUGGAUUUGACGUUUCCUUCCAAGUUGAAAAUAAACGUCGGUCUUUCGUUAAAAAUAGUACGCGUCGGGCCGUGGGGAGAUUCGAAAUUAACUAUAAUUGCUUAAUUCAGAACCCAUGUUUGCUCAAAUCGCCGCACAAGAUCCUAUGUAAGAAAGAGAUGAUGAUAUAAAUCAUGUGCGUGACGAUAGAGAAGAAAUGAUUUUGGAAAUUGUUUGAUGCGCUGGCGUCUUCCAGGUAUAAGAAAUAACGUGCGAAGGAAUUGAAAUUGGGACCAUUAGAGAGAACAAUUUUACUAAAAAGAUAAUGAUGUUCAUAGUGAAAAAAGCCUUCGUCACUUUAAGAACUCACCGUCUAUAAAUGUCUUCAUCACCCGAGUAAAAUAAUUUGUAAAGGUAAUUAUAUAAAAGUUUUGUUUUAAAACUUCACUUAAUUUCAUGAGAAAACUUGCCAAACCGUAAAUUAUAUUAUACGUGUUGUAACGUCAUGGCAAUAAAUUUGAUAGCUACUAUUCCUAUAUCUGCACAGUUUAUGGUAAAAUUAUUGAUAAUAAAACCAAGUUAAAGGAAAAAUAAAACCAUUACAAAAAGGUUCAUCUGAUGAGGUUUAUUUACAAUAAAUUUUCAGAUAUAAAAAUUUAUUUAUACCUUCCUUUAAUAAUUAAAGGUAGAACAGCAAAAAGCUAAAAGCCACUGUCCCAAGACAAAUGGCUGCACCGUAAAGCCGAAGCAAUUAAUUUACAUUUGACAUUUGCAAUGAAGCGGAAGACAAGUGUACUGUGGUUUUGUAUCUCAAUCACGAGAUUUCCGGUACAAUUAUUUACUGUAAAGAUCUGUUUGUAAUGUCGAAAUAAAAUUAUAUUUUGAUUUGAUUAUUUUAAAAUAUGUAUUGGAUAUAUGGAGAAUGAUGUUUAACGAUUUGACUUGGCCAAUUGAAAGAAAAUCUAGACAUAUUAAAUCCACACAAAGAACAUUUACUGCAUACGUAUUGGCCUCACACGCUCGAACAAAUUCUAUUCAGAAUGAACUUACCCUUAUUCAAGAUAUACCAGGCAACGUAAACCAAUUGUGUAGUACUACGAAUUAUUUAUACAUUUUUCUGACUAAAUAAACACGUCAUAGACGUAUAUGAGAUUAAUACCAGUUUAAUUGAUACAAUUAAUAUCGUAUAUAAAAUUGGUUAAAGCAAUAACUUUCAAGAUAAACUUUAUUUUUGUUAUAAAAGUGUUGGUCCCAGUGAUAAAUUUAAGAAUCACAGAAUUAUACCGAACCACACUAAUGACUGUUGUAAACAAGGAGGAAUGAUGAAUGGUGGACUACAAAUCCAGGUUAUAUUGUGACCUUUAUUUGUAACCCAAUAAGGACUUUUAGUGGAAUGAAGAACCGUUUGUUAAAGGAAAACAAAGUUUCUUCUUUCUUCCUCUGAUGUACAAUCAAAGUUGUACCGCAUAUUUCUUCGCGUAUUUCGGGAGCAAAGAGGAAAUUGCUAGCCUCGGGCACCAACCAUUAUAUUCUUUUAUAUUAACGUAAUCUUGCUCGCUUAGAUUUUUUAAAUCAGGUCGUCCUUUAUUGCGCUUUCAUAGUCGGCUUUGCUGGAUUUUUUAAAGUGGCAAUUCAAAGGAUGUUGACAGUGUGAUUGAAUUUAUUUUCUUUUUAAAUUCUAUUUAAUUAAA